AACGAACGCUGGCGGCAUGCCUAACACAUGCCAGUCGAACGAGACCUUCGGGUCUAGUGGCGCACGGGUGCGUAACGCGUGGGAACCUGCCCUUAGGUUCGGAAUAACUCCCCGAAAGGGGUGCUAAUACCGGAUAAUGUCUUCGGACCAAAGAUUUAUCGCCUUUGGAUGGGCCCGCGUUGGAUUAGCUAGUUGGUAGGGUAAAAGCCUACCAAGGCGACGAUCCAUAGCUGGUCUGAGAGGAUGAUCAGCCACACUGGGACUGAGACACGGCCCAGACUCCUACGGGAGGCAGCAGUGGGGAAUAUUGGACAAUGGGCGAAAGCCUGAUCCAGCAAUGCCGCGUGAGUGGUGAAGGCCUUAGGGUUGUAAAGCUCUUUUACCCGGGAUGAUAAUGACAGUACCGGGAGAAUAAGCUCCGGCUAACUCCGUG
rnacentral:rRNA from 1 species